AGUUGCUGAGCACCUGCCGUGUACCAGUGCUUGGGCUGAGGACAUGCCCAGAUCUCUCACAUAGUUUCUAUUGUUAAGCUUAUGAACAUCUAAUCUUAUUGCUCAGUGGAGAAUACAAUCUAAACGAACAGGUGAAUACAGAAGACAGCGCCAGUCAGAGGGUGGCAUUAACACCAGCGUGCCCUAUGGUGGUAUCUACGUGAAAUCCAUUGUUCCUGGAGGACCAGCUGCCAAGGAAGGGCAGAUCCUACAGGGUGACCGACUCCUGCAGGUGGAUGGAGUGAGUCUGUGCGGCCUCACCCACAAGCAGGCUGUGCAGUGCCUGAAGGGUCCUGGGCAGGUUGCAAGACUGGUCUUAGAGAGAAGAGGCCCCAGGAGUACACAGCAGUGUCCUUCUGCUAAUGAAAGCAUGGGAGAUGAACACAUGGCUGUUUCCUUGGUAACAGCCUUGCCUGGCAGGCCUUCGAGCUGUGUCUCGGUGACAGAUGGUCCUAAGUUUGAAGUCAAACUAAAAAAGAAUGCCAAUGGUUUGGGAUUCAGUUUCGUGCAGAUGGAGAAAGAGAGCUGCAGCCAUCUCAAAAAUGAUCUUGUGAGGAUUAAGAGGCUCUUUCCGGGGCAGCCAGCUGAGGAGAAUGGGGCCAUUGCAGCUGGUGACAUUAUCCUGGCCGUGAAUGGAAGGUCCACAGAAGGCCUCAUCUUCCAGGAGGUGCUGCAUUUACUGAGAGGGGCCCCACAGGAAGUCACGCUCCUCCUUUGCCGACCCCCUCCAGGUGCGCUGCCUGAGAUGGAGCAGGAAUGGCAGACACCUGAACUCUCAGCUGACAAAGAAUUCACCAGGGCAACAUGUACUGACUCAUGUACCAGCCCCAUCCUGGAUCAAGAGGACAGCUGGAGGGGCAGUGCCUCCCGAGAUGCAGGGGAAGGCCUGGGUCUCAGGCCAGAGUCUUCCCCAAAGGCCAUCAGAGAGGCACAAUGGGGCCAAAACAGAGAGAGACCUUGGGCCAGUUCCUUGAUACAUUCUCCUGAGUCCCACCCUCAUUUAUGCAAACUUCACCAAGAAAGGGAUGCAUCAACAUUGGCGACCUCUUUGGAAAAGGAUGUGAGGCAAAACUGCUAUUCAGUUUGUGAUAUCAUGAAACUUGGAAGAUAUUCCUUCUCAUCUCCUCUAACCAGACUUUCGACAGAUAUUUUCUGAGCACCUUCUCUGCAUGUCUGCAGUGCUGUGUAAAAUGCCCUACCUUUGCAUGGACUAUUCUUUCUAAUCAAGAGGCGUGUGUGGCAAACUUGGGGCAGCCCCUGGAAGUCUUGUUCUUUGACCAUUAUGUCUGCGGCUGCAUCACCAGAUAAUGAGCUUCACCACUCGUCUGCCUCCUGUGUCCUUCCACGGGGAGUAAAUGUCACUCCAGCUGGCCACCUCUCUAAAUAGGCACAUUUUCAGUGCUCAGAAAAGGACCUGAUCUUUGCACAAAGUGCUUUGAUGGUUGCCUGCUUGAGUCACUCCCAACCCCUUCCUGAAGCCCUUUCUUUAUAAUUCUUUUGUUGAAAUAGCUAUCAUAUUCACAGUAGUAAUCACAGCAUCUCACAUUUACUAAAAACUUACCCCACACUGGGAACCUGGAGUGGGGGGGUGCUGUGUUGGAAUUAUGUAAUUUAUGUGUCCCAAUAAUCCUAGAUGCUUCCUGACCAUCUAGUUUUGUCAAAUGAGAAAACUGAGGUUCCAAUGAAGUCAAUAAACUUGUCCAAAGUCUGACCGACUCUGCUUGCCAUGUGAUGAGUCAGUCUUAGAACUGGGUCAUUGCCCUGUUUGCAAUGCUGUGCCCUCUGGCAAGCCCCCUCGGUCUCCUGAGCUUGGUAAGUGCUCCAGCUGCCUCUAUCAUAGCACUUCCUACAGGGACUGCAACAUUUCUUUACUGCUCCAACUUCUCAUUAAAUUGGGGGCUCCUCAAAGCCA
rnacentral:sRNA from 1 species